AUUAAAUUACAUUUAUUUUCAAUUAUUAUUUUUAAAAAACAAUGUAAGAAAGGUAAACAAAAGUGGGGUCAUGAAAAUAUACCAUACAGAUGGAUUUAAUUAAUUUUCACCUUUAGCACACACACACACACACACACACACACACACACACACACACAAACCUGAGAAGUGAAAUUCAGAUCCACAUCUAGCCUUAAGCCUCAGACUCUGAACUUCAGGACAUUUUAAUCUCAGAUAUGCAAUCAUAAAAAAAUAAAAUAAAAUAAAAAAACGGACAAAAAAAGGUUAUUUUCAGGUAUUAACAAUGGCAACAAUGGUAAAAAGUUAUAUAUUUAAAAAAUUAUAUAUACAUUUACACACAUAUAUAAGUAUAUGCAAAAGUACUAUUAUAGUAUUCAGAUUGCAAAAGUUAAGUUUAUAAAACAUAAUUAAUCUUAGAUGUUGCAUUUGUUUGCUUCCAGACCAGAGCUUUUAAACUGCAGACCUAGAGCUUCUAGAUUGAAAUGCACCGGAUACUGACUGAUGUGAUGAGUGUAGUAUCAGUAUCAGUGUCUCUGUGUCAGAUUUCUGUAACAGAAGCACUGCUGUCCAUUGCUCUCAUAAGGACGCUGACUUUCAACCAUGCAUUGUGCAAAUGCAUCUGUACGCUGACUGAAAACAAGCAGGGUUCAGUGCAGGAUGGCUGGGUCAGGAGUUGCUCUGAGGUUGCACGAAUUUAAGGAAAGUCAGGACACCAAAAACCAUCCAACACACACGUAUGUCCAAAGGUUUUUGAGUCUUUGACUCCUAACAGGUCAAAAUUAACCGCUUUCAGUUCUAGACAAUAAAGUGUUUAAAUUAAGAAAUUUCAUUUGCAACUGUAUUCAUUUAACUUAAAAUGUCAACAUUUAAUGUUUUAGACAAAAUUUGGCCAGUUUGAUCUGGUUUAUUGCUUUAGUAUAUAUACUGAUAUGAUGCAUGUUAGCAUGUUUUACUGUCUGCAUCAUGUGUGUUUGAUCUGUUUACUGUGUUUCUCCAGUGCUCGCCGGCAGGGCCGAGAUGUUCUGGGACUGUAUCCCGGUCAGAUCGCAAGAGUGCAUGCCGUCAGCUCACAUCUGGACAGAUUGACGCCGAAGACUCCAGACAUGCAACAUUAUGAAUCUGGAGCAGUUAAGAAAUAUCAGAGGAGAAACUUCGAUCUGUUGACCCUUCAGGCCUCUCUUCUGUCCCAUCACAGAGAAACACACACAUCAAACACACCAAACGGACAGUCUAUAGGUGCUGAUUUCCAGAAGUUCACAUUGAGUUCACAUCCAGAGCCGCUGGAGCAGCAGCAGAGAUGAGAUCAUGCUCCUAUCAAAACUGCAAUCAAAACCUUUCGGUUGAGGAGAAAACAUUUUUUUGGUGAAAUGUAAUCACACAAUGACACAGCUCCAUCACAGCAGUCAUGUAAAACAUGCAUUUGAAAUUAUUUUCCACUGGCACACAACCAAGAACUGAAAGCUGCACAUACUUCUUGCUUUAAAAGCGGUACUCCACAUGAAACCUCAAGUACAAAUGUCAGUGAGUUUCACGUGAAUCGCUUUGUAAAGUGAUUACGUUCAGCUGCCUGAUCUGUGCAGUUGUGUUGGUUGAUAUUUACCUCAAAGUACAACUUUUGAAUAGCAGCAUACAUCAGUUAAAUGCAGUAUAGCCAUGUAAAUAUUUAAAUAUCCCAAUGCAAUUCAUUAGAUGUUUAAACAAAUGAGCUGCUAACAAGUGAGCAGUGAUCUCCACCUGCCUUUGAUACUUUAUGUGACAAAGGCCGUAGUGUGGGCGAAAUAUUUAAUCAUAUUUAACUAUUAGAUAUCAGUUAAUCACAGCCGUGAGAGGAUGAUGUUGACAUUUAUGCUGAGUCAUGCUGACAUUCAUCUUGUGUUCAAAAUAGCUCAAACUCUAUUGACCCAUCCUCACUUCCUGCAAACCGAUACCUUGCUUUAGAGAUGCAGAACAAUUGAAGUUUUCUUUGUCGGACAGUUGUCAAAUGGAUCGUGUCUGAUAUUCAAUACUUGCGUCAUAACACAUGAUCAUGUUUCUCGUCUGAUAGUUCAUUCUGUUCUCUCUCCAGAUUUUUCAUGGUGCAAUAAGGGAGUGUUUGUGUGAUACUGAACCUGAAUAAAUAAAAGUGUAUUUAAUAAUCCA
ensembl:lncRNA